rnacentral:rRNA from 1 species
GACGAACGCUGGCGGCGUGCUUAACACAUGCAAGUCGAGCGGUAAGGCCCUUUCGGGGGUACACGAGCGGCGAACGGGUGAGUAACACGUGGGUGACCUGCCCUCAGCUCUGGGAUAAGCCUGGGAAACUGGGUCUAAUACCGGAUAUGACUCCAUGACGCAUGUUGUGGGGUGGAAAGCCUUGUGCGGCUGAGGAUGGGCCCGCGGCCUAUCAGCUUGUUGGUGGGGUGAUGGCCUACCAAGGCGACGACGGGUAGCCGGCCUGAGAGGGCGACCGGCCACACUGGGACUGAGACACGGCCCAGACUCCUACGGGAGGCAGCAGUAAGGAAUAUUCCACAAUGGUCGCAAGACUGAUGGAGCAACGCCGCGUGCGCGACGAAGCCCUUC